AGGGGCGAAAGACUAAUCGAACCAU
rnacentral:ncRNA from 8 species